ensembl:snoRNA U3 Small nucleolar RNA U3
AAGACUAUACUUUCAGGGAUCAUUUCUAUAGUUUGUCACUAGGGAAGUUUCUCUGAAUGUGUACAGUACCGAUGGAAUCUAAAAAGAGCCCAUAUAGA